UACAGAGGGCUCAAGCGUUGUUCGGAUUCAUUGGGCGUAAAGGGUGCGUAGGUGGCGUCGUAAGUGGGGUGUGAAAUCCCGGGGCUUAACUCCGGGACUGCAUUCCAUACUGCGGUGCUUGAGGAUUGCAGAGGAGACUGGAAUUCCCGGUGUAGCGGUGAAAUGUGUAGAGAUCGGGAGGAACACCGGUGGCGAAGGCGGGUCUCUGGGCAAUUCCUGACGCUGAGGCGCGAAAGCGUGGGGAGCAAACGGG
rnacentral:rRNA from 1 species